AUCCUUUUCAUGAGUGUGAUGAUUGGGUGUUCACUUGUUAUGUGACAUGUGCCUCCCUCAAAUCUUGUUAUGACACUGGUGAAUAACCCAUCUGACA
ensembl:snoRNA